rnacentral:lncRNA from 1 species
GGAAAAGAAAGCAGGAUCUCAUUGCUGAUUAUUGAGAAAGGCAGAAGCAGGACUGCACCAGCUGAAACUGCUAGAGUGAAGGUGCUCAAGAACAGCGAUAUUCUGUUAACUAUGGCAUCUUCAUCCUCUUGCUCAUCUGCUUUUCUUUUGUAUCUUGUGAUUAUGAAGUAGGACACUAUGUAGAGAACAGCAAAUAGGAGAAAACAGAUCGUGUACUCCCGCACUUGGCUGUGGAAGUUCUGCUCGCGGAUCGACACCUCGUCCGCCUCCAUCCUUCAUAGUCCCGCGGCCCCCGCGCGCAAUGGCGGCCGCCGCCGCCGCGCCUGCUGCUGUCCCCCCGGCGGCGGGCGGGCCACCAUGGCCGGCGGCAGCGCCCGCUGCUCCCCCCGAGCCCGGCCGGCGACCGAGAGACUCCAGCGGCGACGAGCUCCGCCGCUCUGUCAGCG